rnacentral:vault_RNA from 1 species
UGGUCAGAUUUAGCACAAGUGGUUACUCCCACCCAUCAGACUGCAGAUACCUAUAUUGAGGUUUGAGACCUAUGGGUGCUUUCUGACCCUUUU